CCGGUCAGCACCCCAGGCGUGUUGUGGGACUGUUCUCGUGCAUGGGUGGUGGUGGGACCCUGCACUGGUUUUCCUGGUGGCCCGGCCGUG
rnacentral:pre_miRNA from 1 species